CCUACGGGGCGCAGCAGUGGGGAAUAUUUGACAAUGGGCGAAAGCCUGAUCCAGCCAUGCCGCGUGUGUGAAGAAGGCCUUCGGGUUGUAAAGCACUUUCAGUGGGGAAGAAAGCCUUGGGGCUAAUACCCUCGAGGAAGGACAUCACCCACAGAAGAAGCACCGGCUAACUCCGUGCCAGCAGCCGCGGUAAUACGGAGGGUGCGAGCGUUAAUCGGAAUUACUGGGCGUAAAGCGCGCGUAGGCGGUCUGAUAAGCCGGUUGUGAAAGCCCCGGGCUCAACCUGGGAACGGCAUCCGGAACUGUCAGGCUAGAGUGCAGGAGAGGAAGGAAGAAUUCCCGGUGUAGCGGUGAAAUGCGUAGAGAUCGGGAGGAAUACCAGUGGCGAGGGCGGCCUUCUGGACUGACACUGACGCUGAGGUGCGAAAGCGUGGGUAGCAAACAGGAUUAGAUACCCCGGUAGUC
rnacentral:rRNA from 1 species